CCUACGGGAGGCAGCAGUCGAGAAUCAUUCACAAUGGGGGAAACCCUGAUGGUGCGACGCCGCGUGGGGGAAUGAAGGUCUUCGGAUUGUAAACCCCUGUCAUGUGGGAGCAAAUUAAAAAGAUAGUACCACAAGAGGAAGAGACGGCUAACUCUGUGCCAGCAGCCGCGGUAAUACAGAGGUCUCAAGCGUUGUUCGGAAUCACUGGGCGUAAGGCGUGCGUAGGCUGUUUCGUAAGUCGUGUGUGAAAGGCGCGGGCUCAACCCGCGGACGGCACAUGAUACUGCGAGACUAGAGUAAUGGAGGGGGAACCGGAAUUCCCGGUGUAGCAGUGAAAUGCGUAGAUAUCGAGAGGAACACUCGUGGCGAAGGCGGGUUCCUGGACAUUAACUGACGCUGAGGCACGAAGGCCAGGGGAGCGAAAGGGAUUAGAUACCCCUGUAGUC
rnacentral:rRNA from 1 species